CUGUACAGUUCAGAGUUUGAUCCUGGCUCAGGAUGAACGCUGGCGGCGUGCCUAACACAUGCAAGUCGAACGGGGUUAAGGGAAAUUUUCGGAUGGAACUUAACUUAGUGGCGGACGGGUGAGUAACGCGUGGAUAACCUGCCUCACACUGGGGGAUAGCAGCUGGAAACGGCUGGUAAUACCGCAUAAGACCACAGCACCGCAUGGUGCAGGGGUAAAAGAUUUAUCGGUGUGAGAUGGAUCCGCGUCUGAUUAGCCAGUUGGCGGGGUAACGGCCCACCAAAGCGACGAUCAGUAGCCGGCCUGAGAGGGUGAACGGCCACAUUGGGACUGAGACACGGCCCAA
rnacentral:rRNA from 1 species